rnacentral:sRNA from 1 species
AUUUGCUUUACUGUCCUCCAAACGACGUAAACACAAGUUGUGAGUAUCAGUUGGUUCUUAGCGGGGUUUCUUGGUGGGUUUCUGCUUCUCCUCUCCUUUCCUACUCUGUGGCGGUUGCUCCAUGUGGCCUGGCGUCCUUACAGGAGAUGGUCCUGUGUUCAUCUCUGUGUGUUUCAUCUUAUUUUUUUUACUUACAGGUUAUUAACACGGGGAUCAAAGUCUGGUGUAGAAAUAACAGCGGUGAAGAGUUUGACUGUGCUUUCCGGCUGGCACAGGAGGGAAUAUAUACAUUGUAUCCAUUUAUUAACUCAAGAAUUAUUACUGUAUCAAUGGAAGAUGUUAAGAUACUGUUGACCCAGGAAAAUCCCUUUUUUAGAAAACUCAGCAGUGAGACCUACAGUCAAGCGAAGGACCUGGCAAAGGGAAGCAUUGUGCUGAAGUAUGAACCAGAUUCUGCGAAUCCAGACGCUUUGCAGUGUCCCAUCGUCUUAUGCGGAUGGCGGGGAAAGGCCUCCAUUCGAACUUUUGUGCCCAAGAAUGAACGGCUUCAUUAUCUCAGGAUGAUGGGGCUGGAGGUAUUGGGAGAAAAGAAGAAGGAAGGGGUUAUCCUCACAAAUGAGAGUGCAGUCAGCACCGGACAGCCAGAGAAUGAGGUGACUGAGGGACAGAGAGCAGGAGAGCCCAACAGCCCGGACGCAGAAGAGGCCAACAGUCCAGACGUGACAGCAGGCUGUGACCCAGCGGGGGUCCACCCACCCCGGUGAGCAGGCCCAAGGCAGCGGGGGCCCACACCCCUCACACGCAAAACUGGCUUCUUCUGGUCACUGAAACCAAAUCCAGAGCAGCCUGUGGCCUGUAAAGCAUAUAUUUGUAACAACUGCAGACUGCUAGGAUCAUAGGAGCCUUCAGAAUGACCAGGACUGCUUUCUUUGGAGCUGAUGAAAACGUAUUCUUUUAGCGUGUUAGAAAUCACUCGUUUUAUUUUGUUUCUUUGGCCAAGCUGGGUCUAGUGUUUCUUUUGCUGGGAAUAGACUUUCAAAAGUCAUACUUCUAUCAAGAAACAAAACUGCCCUUGCAGAAAUUUCAGGUCUUUUGUUAAAGCCUGUAUUGGUCUUAAGGUCCAGUAUUUUUUAAAUUAUUAUUUAUAGAAAGAAUCUAUAAAUUCUUGGGGAAGUGUGUUAUAAGCUUUAAUAAUUACAUUGAGUUGCACAUGUGUGACAUUAACAUGCAGUGGGGUUAAUAUCUGAGGCCUCAGGUGACUUUGUGCCUUUUGGAAUAA